rnacentral:sRNA from 1 species
UUAUCAACCGAGUCAAUGAGGUCGGGGUCGAUGUCAACCGUGCCAUUGCCCACCCUUACAGCCAGGCCUUGAUCCAGUAUGUUUGUGGCUUGGGACCUCGGAAAGGGACCCACCUCCUGAAGAUCCUGAAGCAGAACAACACCCGGCUCGAGAGCCGGACCCAGCUGGUCACCAUGUGCCACAUGGGUCCCAAAGUCUUCAUGAAUUGUGCUGGCUUCCUCAAGAUCGACACGGCCUCCCUGGGGGACAGGUGAUGCCCUCUGCCUGGAUGGGGCAGGAGGAAUUCCCUUGUGGGCUUUGUUUUCGGGUUUCAGGGGUUAGGGCUAUCAAAGGGCCACAAGCCAUUUUAACUUAGGAAAUGUUUUAAAGAAAAGGUAAGGAACUUUAUUCAGUCAAGAGCCCCUGACCUAUGGAAAAGAUCGGUUCAAUCAUGUGAAACAUUUUUCGUGUGAGAGAAACAUAAAAAGUACCAGCUUAGCUUAUAAAUUAAGCAUGGAAAACACAAGAUUUUGUUCAGUAAACACAAACUUGCUUUUUUAUUAUUAUGGUUUGUUGUGGCCAGAUAAG